rnacentral:lncRNA from 10 species
CAGGCAGAAAAAGGAGAGAACUGAGAAGUUCAGGUUCCCAGGGACUUGGUCUGCCCUAUAGAUCAUCCUGUACCAGAGAUCUACAGCAUAAUGGCCUGGAAGCAGUCUUUGUUUUGGAGCCAAGCCCAGCAAAGUCUCAAUUCCUUCCCCUUCAAUCGCCAUCUGGAUGAACAAGGCCAAGUCAUUGACCUUCUCUGGGCCUCAGUUUCCUCACCCAUAAACUGGAGGUAAAAACACAUACCCCAUGGGAUGGGAUUACAUAAGAGCUUAACACAAUGUCUGGCACAGAGUGGGAAAUCAGUAAACAUUUGCUCCCAUCCUUUGCUCAAAUCAGUUUUAAUUAAAGGUCCCUUUGAGAAAAUGAGGAAGUCAAUCUUCAUUUGACCGAGAAAAGAAGUAAAUCUUUUUCUGUUGUUGUUAAGAUAAGACUUAUCUAUGUAAGUUCACUUUAAGGAUAGUGAUUUGUUAUUUUUCAUUUAAAGCCAAUUAAUCAAUGUAGUGUGGAUGUCUUCUUUCUCCCUGGAGUCUCUUUGAAGUGGUUUGCUCUAGGGCAUCUAAAGAAAGGAUGUCAGAGGGCUGGAAUAAGAGAAAGUUGACAGAAUGGAGAAGGGGCUAUUUGGGAUAGAAGGGUAUACAUACUACCUCUCCAGCUGGUUCCCAGUGGGGGAUAUUAGGACAAUGAAUUGUAGCUCAGUGUCCAGUUUCUGGAACCUCUGGAUGAAGUCAGAUACUGCCUCCAGGGAUGCCUAUAGAUAUUCCUACCUCUGCCCAGGCAAGCCCACCUCCAGCUGCAGCAGCCACAACUGCUAGAAACAACCAACACCAGCAGGAGAGGAGAUAAACCAGGUAUAAGGCACCAGGAGAAAUAAGUCGGGGACAGGGGUGGCAGUCAAAUCAUACUCCUUUUUUGUAAUAAGUUUUAUUUUGUUUUUCAUUGUCACAUAAUAAUUAUAUAUAUUUAUGAGAUGUAGUGUGAUGUUUGCUGUACAUUAUGUAAUGAUCAAAUCAGAAUGGUUAGCAUAUUGAUCAUCUCAAAUGCCUGCCAUUUCUUUGUAGUAAGAACACUUAACUGAGGCAGGGGUAUCACAUGGUCAAGAGAUCAAGACUAUCCUGGCCAACAUGGUGAAACCCCGUCACUACU